rnacentral:rRNA from 1 species
AUGGCUCAGGAUGAACGCUAGCUACAGGCUUAACACAUGCAAGUCGCGGGGCAGCAUGGUCUUAGCUUGCUAAGACUGAUGGCGACCGGCGCACGGGUGAGUAACGCGUAUCCAACCUUCCCUUAGUAGGGCAUAGCCCGGCGAAAGUCGGAUUAAUACCCUAUGUUCUUCGUAGAUGGCAUCUGAGACGAAGCAAAGGUUAGCGCUAAGGGAUGGGGAUGCGUCUGAUUAGGCAGUCGGCGGGGUAACGGCCCACCGAGCCUUCGAUCAGUAGGGGUUCUGAGAGGAAGGUCCCCCACAUUGGAACUGAGACACGGUCCAAACUCCUACGGGAGGCAGCAGUGAGGAAUAUUGGUCAAUGGGCGAGAGCCUGAACCAGCCAAGUAGCGUGCAGGACGACGGCCCUACGGGUUGUAAACUGCUUUUAUGCGGGGAUAAAGUGCCCUACGUGUAGGGUAUUGCAGGUACCGCAUGAAUAAGGACCGGCUAAUUCCGUGCCAGCAGCGGC